AGGGCGUUCAGUUCGUCGGACUAGACCCGAAACCAGUCGAUCUAUCCAUGGCCAGGUUGAAAGCAGGGUAACACCUGCUGGAGGACCGAACCGGUGCCUGUUGAAAAAGUCUCGGAUGAGCUGUGGAUAGGGGUGAAAGGCCAAUCAAGGCUGGAAAUAGCUGGUUCUCCGCGAAAUCUAUUUUAGGUAGAGCCUCGAGUGAAUACCCCAGGGGGUAGAGCACUGGAUGGGCUAGGGGCCCCCACAGGGGUUACCAAACCUAACCAAACUCCGAAUACCUGGGAGUACUGCUCGGGAGACACACGGCGGGUGCUAACGUCCGUCGUGAAAAGGGAAAAAACCCUAGACCGACAGCUAAGGUCCUCAAGUCACGGCUAAGUGUGAAAGGAUGUGGAAAUCCCAUAACAACCAGGAGGUUGGCUUAGAAGCAGCCAUCCUUUAAAGAAAGCGUAACAGCUCACUGGUCUAAUUAAGGGUUUCUGCGCCGAAAAAUGUAACGGGGCUAAAGCCGUGCACCGAAGCUUCGGGCUCAGCAAUGAGCGGUAGCGGAGCG
rnacentral:rRNA from 1 species